rnacentral:sRNA from 1 species
UCCUCCUAACAGGGUGGGAGUCGUAGGUUGGGGUGACUGAGAUAUCCAGUGCACAGAUCCCAUGCCUCUCACUCUGUAGAAUGACUCCAAGAGCCGAGGUCCCUUAGGCCUCAGAUUCUUACUGGGCAGAGAAGAAAAGAGUUUAGAAUGGAAUUAUCCCCGAAAGGAGGCAAACGGAGAGAACCCAUCAGAGCUGAGCUCUCACAGCCACUCUGCCCCAGUGACGGGACGCUAACCUCGGUACUGUCUGAGAACAACUGUCUGAGAAUGGCCUGUGCUGUGACUGACCGUCGUAUUAGCCGACAACAGUAUCCGCGUCAGCCCUGGCGCACUGUAUGUGAGGAAGCAGCCAUUCUAGAACUCAGCUGCCCUCUGGGCGCCUAAUGAAGACGCUAAACCUGAAGCUGGCUGCAGAUUCAAGCUCCUGUUCAGAUAUAACAAACCCACUGGAAUAGAAGGAUUAGGUCUCCCUUCACCAGAGCCAACAUGGUUGAGAUGGAGAGUUGAAAUGCAAAGGAAGAUGUAUAACAGCCCCCGAGAGCAGCCGCACCACUCUACUGGGAAAGGAUCCAUCUUCUUGCCCCGAAUAGCCACAUCUCAAGGGAACCUGCAGGCGUGAGCAGAAGAGGGUCAGAUUUCUCACAGAUCCUUGGUUGGGGUUUCUGGUGCAUGACCCCCCCCAUCCCCAGCCCCCAAAAUCACAUUGUUUGAAUUCACUUACCCAGAGCAAAAUCCAACCAAAAGUAAAAAGACACUCCGAGAUGCUUAUUUUAAAGAUCUUCCGCAAGGUGUUCUGGACAUCAAUGGCUCUUAAAACCCACAGCAGCACUUUCAUGAUUUAAGCGUAGAGGAAGCGGACAUAUGGAUCAAAUUUUCUUGGAAUUCCUCCUGGUUUUAAAAGCGAAAGGUAGACGAGUCAGCGACAUGGCAGAGUGCCUGGACCACUUAGAGAUGUGCCCUCGAGGCAAAGCACCCUGAACCCCAAGGCUGGAGGACGAACUUGUCCGGUUUAUGUAUCCGUCCGUGCAGAGAGCAGAUCUGGGGGGUCCUUAAGGAGGACUCUCUGGCGUGGAUCCUACGGCCAUUUUUUUUUUUUAAAUCUGAGAUUCCUCUCUGAGCACCAUCAGGACCCACAGCCACAGUUUCCGAGCUUUGUGAUUUUCCCCUAAAAUUGCUGGUUGGAGACUCAGGUGGUGGAGCUGUCACCCCAGUCUACUUCUACUAGGAUCUCUCAGUUGGAGCUGGAUGUGGGGACCUAGGCCUAUAACCCCAGCUACUUAGGAGGCUGAGGCAGGAGGAUCAUAAGUUUGGGACCAGCCUAGACAACUUAGUAGACUCUGUCUCAAAUCUGAGAGAUGAAAAGAGGCCUGGGAAUGUAGCCGACUGUGAAGCAAGCUCGAGAACACUGGCCUAGGAUGUUUAGGGCCCUCAGCUUUGUGCCCAGCACUACAUAUAAGAAAAAAAAAAACCCAACUUUAUCAAGACCCCUAACUCUGUAUGUCCAACAGGUUUCUUGGCUGCCAGGCUGGGAUGCUAUGGUCAGAGGCGGUGGGUUUGGCCUAGCUUUAGUAGCCAGAGUCCGACACAGUGCCAGACUCUUAGAGAAUCUUCAGGAAGCCUGGCUGGUCUGGCCAAACCUUGCAGACCUCCCACCUGGGGCUCUGAGUUCAUUUGGAUGAGCACAGCAGAAUCGGACAGGUGAACAAGCACUUCUCCAUCCUGGCCUCCGUCUGACUCUCCUGGAAGACUCCUGGCGUCUCAUUAGUGGGUCCCCAGAGCCUUUGCAAAUGGAAGCUCCCUGCUGGCUCCCCAGAUGCCUUGCCCCAGCUCUCUUCCCUUCCCCGCCCAGUGAACAUCUGCCUUGUGUCCCCAAGGAGCGGACGGUCAGCAGAACUGCAAUCCAAAGCCCGACAAUUAUUGAUUUUUUUAGGUUCAGAUCAGAUGAGGCUUCUUCUCAUCUAAGCUCUUUCCACUGCCAUCCCCUUCCUUCUACACACCAAGCUCUUUCUGGAAGGUUCUAAAGCAUAUGCGUCAUCUGGGCGGGAAUCAGACCUGGCGGAGGUAUAUGUGGCAAAGAAGUGACGGGAGAAAACACAUUCUCCUUCAAGGGAUCAGUCCGAAGGGGACAGUCCCAAACAAUGACCAGACCGUCCUCAUGCAGGGACGAUGACAGCCGCUUUGAACUUAUCACGCUCCGGCUCUAUAUUAAGGCCCUGAGAUUACAGCAAGCGGCAUUGGGAGAACAUCUGUUGGGAAUCAUCGUGAAGCAGCCAGAUAUGAGGGCCGAGAGCACACGCUGGGGGGCAGGGGAGAGGGAGGCCACUUUCUUGCAGGGAAAGGGACAGGAGACAUUAUCCCUAAUGGUUCUGUCUGGUGGCGGCUUGCCUCCCCAGCUUCCAAGCUCACCCCGCCCCGCCACUGGAUCUUUAUCUAAGGGGAUUCAGGAGCAUCUGUGGAAAUGUCAGAUGCACCUGUAAUUGAAUAUGGCGGCUGAAGAAAAGGCAGCAAGAAGAGCCAUCACCCCUUAGUCCCUGGUGUAUGUGAGGAACAGAGUAAUUUUUCAGGGUGUACCCUCAUCUCCCUGAUUUCCUCCCCGCAUCCCUGGGAGCCCUGAGGGUAGAGGCACACAGUAUCUCUCUCCACGCACAGCUCUGGAAGUGAGACUCAGGGAAAAUGAAGGCUUUACACAGGUUGGGUAUCUAGAGAUCAGUGGAUGGGGUGACCCACUGUCCCGCCUUACCCUGAGGGAAUGUUCUCCUGGACUGUCAGUGUUCAGAGAGAAAGGCAGCUCGGUGGUUAGGAGUACUGGCUGCCCUCAUGGAGGAUUCAGAUUCAGUUCCAGGCAUCCCUGUGGUGGCUCAUAACCAUCCACAACUCCAGCUCCAGGGAGUUAAUAUCCUCUUCUGACCUCUUUUGGCAACCAAGCGUGCCUUUGGUGCAUAAACAUAUAUGCGGGCACACACAUGCUAUAAAAGAAUUAAAAAUUUAUUUUAUUAAUAAUAUUUUAAUAAGA